CUUGCCUCAGUAGGUUUCAGAGUUAACGCGACUAGAGAAAGGAAUCAUCUUGAUGAGCUUGCUUGUAAUGCAGAGAGAGGGGCUUGGGGAGCUACUGUGGUCACUGAGAGGUCGCUGGUGUUUGGCUCUUUGCUGGCCGUGUGGAUCUGGGUGCUUCACCAACGUGCGCAAAGCGUGCAGCCGAAUUUCCUGGGCUGCAGCCGCCCCUGCCCAGUGUCACCGCUGCCCCCUGAGCCCGUCCCACUCGUCACACCGAUGGGCUGCUCUGGGAGCAGGCAUCCCAGGAGGGUUUCCUCUGCUGCUGCCUGGGCAAACUGAGACAUCCUCUGAGCAUCCCCGUGUCCCUGAGCAUCCUCAUCUCCGACAUCCUGCAUCCCUGAGCAUCUCCGCAUCCAGCAGCAUCCCACGUCCCUAAGCCAGCGGGUCCCAGGCACGGGCUGAGGGCACAGCAAGAGCACCCCCCCAGGGGUGGAGGGCUGCGGAGGGUGACGGCGACGUAGCACCUACUCUAAUGGGAUCCUCUCCACAAGUAAUUAAGCCUCGGCUAAUGCUAACCGUAAUGUGAUGUAUGUAUGCCUUUAACUAAUCAUUUAUUAGCCUCGUUGAUGGUUUGUCAAUAUUAAUUCAUUUAUUUAAACAA